CGGGGUGUAGCGCAGCCUGGUAGCGUAACGUCCUGGGGGGGCGGGGGUCGCUGGUUCGAAUCCAGUCACCCCGACCA
rnacentral:tRNA from 1 species